GACAGAGGUGCCGAGCGUUAGGCGGAAUCACUGGGCUUAAAGCGUGUGUAGGCGGACCGUUAAGUACCUUGUGAAAUCCCACGGCUCACCCGUGGAACGGCUGGGUAUACUGGCGGUCUUGGGCCACCUAGGGGCAGAUGGAACAGACGGUGGAGCGGUGAAAUGCGUAGAUAUCAGGAAGAACACCGAUGGCGAAGGCAGUGGGCUGGGCCGGUACUGACGCUGAGGAGCGAAAGCGUGGGGAGCGAACAGG
rnacentral:rRNA from 1 species